CCUACGGGAGGCAGCAGUGGGGAAUCUUAGACAAUGGGGGCAACCCUGAUCUAGCCAUGCCGCGUGAGUGAUGAAGGCCUUAGGGUCGUAAAGCUCUUUCGCCUGUGAUGAUAAUGACAGUAGCAGGUAAAGAAACCCCGGCUAACUCCGUGCCAGCAGCCGCGGUAAUACGGAGGGGGUUAGCGUUGUUCGGAAUUACUGGGCGUAAAGCGCGCGUAGGCGGAUUAGAAAGUUGGGGGUGAAAUCCCGAGGCUCAACCUCGGAACUGCCUCCAAAACUGCUAGUCUAGAGUUCGAGAGAGGUGAGUGGAAUUCCGAGUGUAGAGGUGAAAUUCGUAGAUAUUCGGAGGAACACCAGUGGCGAAGGCGGCUCACUGGCUCGAUACUGACGCUGAGGUGCGAAAGUGUGGGGAGCAAACAGGAUUAGAUACCCUGGUAGUCCACACCGUAAACGAUGAAUGCCAGUCGUCGGAUAGUAUACUAUUCGGUGACACACCUAACGGAUUAAGCAUUCCGCCUGGGGAGUACGGUCGCA
rnacentral:rRNA from 1 species